UCGCUAGUAAUCGCGGAUCAGCAUGCCGCGGUGAAUACGUUCCCGGGCCUUGUACACACCGCCCGUCACACCACGAGAGUUGGUAACACCCGAAGUCGGUGAGGUAACCUUUUUGGAGCCAGCCGCCGAAGGUGGGACGAAUGAUUGGGGUGAAGUCGUAACAAGGUAGCCGUAUCGGAAGGUGCGGCUGG
rnacentral:rRNA from 1 species